rnacentral:rRNA from 1 species
CCAAGGCGAUGAUGCAUAGCCGAGUUGAGAGACUGAUCGGCCACAUUGGGACUGAGACACGGCCCAAACUCCUACGGGAGGCAGCAGUAGGGAAUCUUCCACAAUGGACGCAAGUCUGAUGGAGCAACGCCGCGUGAGUGAAGUAAGGUUUUCGGAUCGUAAAGCUCUGUUGUUGGUGAAGAAGGAUAGAGGUAGUAACUGGUCCUUUAUUUGACGGUAAUCAACCAGAAAGUCACGGGCUAACUACGUGCCAGCGCCGCGGUAAAAU